rnacentral:rRNA from 1 species
GACAGAGGGUGCAAACGUUGCUCGGAAUUACUGGGCGUAAAGCGCGUGUAGGCGGACCAACAAGUCAGGCGUGAAAUCCCUGGGCUCAACCCAGGAACUGCACCUGAAACUGUCGGUCUUGAGUGGUGGAGAGGGAAGCAGAAUUCCUGGUGUAGAGGUGAAAUUCGUGGAUAUCAGGAGGAACACCGGUGGCGAAGGCGGCUUCCUGGACACUAACUGACGCUGAGACGCGAAAGCGUGGGGAGCAAACAGG